UACGUAGGGUGCGAGCGUUGUCCGGAAUUAUUGGGCGUAAAGAGCUUGUAGGCGGUCUGUCGCGUCUGCUGUGAAAAUCCGGGGCUCAACCCCGGACUUGCAGUGGGUACGGGCAGACUAGAGUGUGGUAGGGGAGACUGGAAUUCCUGGUGUAGCGGUGAAAUGCGCAGAUAUCAGGAGGAACACCAAUAGCGAAGGCAGCUCGCUGG
rnacentral:rRNA from 1 species